UUAAAUUACCCCAUUCAAGUCACCAACGUUUUGGAUUUCGACUAUCAGGUAACAAUUAUUGUUGCAAUAGAACAGCAAGAAAAAACGCCUCCUGAUAAUCAUUCAGGCAUGGCUAUAGACAGGCAGCGCAUGAAUAUUGAAUGAAAGAACCAAAAAUAUCGUCUAUACAUUAAUUUGUCUACUUACUUCAGUUGUAUUCAUUGAAACUAUUUAAAACCAAAAUGGCAUACUUUGCUAUACAUAAAAAAGGAAAAGAUUACGACGAAAAGAAAUACGAAUGUGAUGAUGAAUCUUUUACACAA